rnacentral:sRNA from 1 species
GGGGGUGGGAACAUGGCAUGUGGUCCAAAUAUGAUUAUCGUUUUGAAUGAACUCGAUGAUCCGAAUGUAAGAAUAAUUGUAGAAUGCAGAAUUUAAAUUAAAUCAUUGUGGUUUGCUUCCUGUUCAUGUGAACAGGGAGUUUU